rnacentral:rRNA from 1 species
UACGUAGGCAGCAAGCGUUGUUCGGAAUUACUGGGCGUAAAGCGUGUGUAGGCGGUUGGGUACGUCUGGUGUGAAAUCUCCCGGCUCAACUGGGAGGGUGCGCCGGAAACUGCCUGGCUAGAGUGCGGAAGAGGAGAGUGGAAUUCCGGUGUAGCGGUGAAAUGCGUAGAUAUCGGGAGGAACACCUGUGGCGAAAGCGGCUCUCUGGACCGUAACUGACGCUGAGACACGAAAGCGUGGGGAGCAAACAGG